GAUGAACGCUGGCGGCGUGCCUAAUACAUGCAAGUCGAGCGAACGGACGAGAAGCUUGCUUCUCUGAUGUUAGCGGCGGACGGGUGAGUAACACGUGGAUAACCUACCUAUUAGACUGGGAUAACUUCGGGAGACCGUAGCUAAUACCGGAUAAUAUUUUGAACCGCAUGGAUCAAAAGUGAAAGACGGUCUUGCUGUCACUUAUAGAUGGAUCCGCGCUGCAUUAGCUAGUUGGUAAGGUAACGGCUUACCAAGGCAACGAUGCAUAGCCGACCUGAGAGGGUGAUCGGCCACACUGGAACUGAGACACGGUCCAGACUCCUACGGGAGGCAGCAGUAGGGAAUCUUCCGCAAUGGGCGAAAGCCUGACGGAGCAACGCCGCGUGAGUGAUGAAGGUCUUCGGAUCGUAAAACUCUGUUAUUAGGGAAGAACAUAUGUGUAAGUAACUGUGCACAUCUUGACGGUACCUAAUCAGAAAGCCACGGCUAACUACGUG
rnacentral:rRNA from 1 species